UGGUCUCUGGAGCAGUGGUAGAUUCAGACAAGGUGGUUGUCUCUGGAGCAGUGGUAGAUUCAGACAAGGUGGUGGUCUCUGGAGCAGUGGUAGAUUCAGACAAGGUGGUGGUCUCUGGAGCAGUAGUAGAUUCAGACAAGGUGGUGGUCUCUGGACCAGUAGUAGAUUCAGACAAGGUGGUUGUCUCUGGAGCAGUAGUAGAUUCAGACAAGGUGGUGGUCUCUGGAGCAGUGGUAGAUUCAGACAAGGUGAUGGUCUCUGGAGCAGUGGUAGAUUCAGGCAAGGUGGUUGU